rnacentral:rRNA from 1 species
ACUCCUACGGGAGGCAGCAGUGGGGAAUUUUGGACAAUGGGGGCAACCCUGAUCCAGCAAUGCCGCGUGAGUGAAGAAGGCCUUCGGGUUGUAAAGCUCUUUUGUCAGGGAAGAAACGGUGGUGGCGAAUAACUACUACUAAUGACGGUACCUGAAGAAUAAGCACCGGCUAACUACGUGCCAGCAGCCGCGGUAAUACGUAGGGUGCAAGCGUUAAUCGGAAUUACUGGGCGUAAAGCGUGCGCAGGCGGUUGUGUAAGUCAGAUGUGAAAUCCCCGGGCUCAACCUGGGAAUUGCAUUUGAGACUGCACGGCUAGAGUGUGUCAGAGGGGGGUAGAAUUCCACGUGUAGCAGUGAAAUGCGUAGAUAUGUGGAGGAAUACCGAUGGCGAAGGCAGCCCCCUGGGAUAACACUGACGCUCAUGCACGAAAGCGUGGGGAGCAAACAGGAUUAGAAACCCGAGUAGUCCCAUG